rnacentral:rRNA from 1 species
GUUUUAGUUGUUGCAGUUAAGCUCGUACUUGGAUUUCGGAAGGUCUUUAGUGGUCCGCCCCUUCGGGGAGCGGGUCACUGGCCUCCUAUGUCCUAACGGUCUCAUCCGCGAGGUGGGGAUCAACCGCUAGGAUCGUUUACUUUGAGGAAUUAGAGUGUUCAAAGCAGGCGUAACUCGCCUCCGAAUACGUUAGCAUGGGAUAAUGGAAUACGACUUCGGUCUUGUUUCGUUGGUUUCGCUUGGCUGAAGUAAUGAUUGAUAGGGACAGUUGGGGGCAUUAGUAUUUAGUUGUCAGAGGUGAAAUUCUAGGAUUUACUAAAGACUGACCAAUGCGAAAGCAUUUGCCAAGGAUGUUUUCAUUAAUCAAGAACGAAAGUAGGGGGAUCGAAGACGAUCAGAUACCGUCGUAGUCUCUACCGUAAACUAUGCCGACCAGGGAUCCGGAGAGUUUGCAUGGAUGACUCCCCGGGCACCUUGUGAGAAAUCAUAAGUGUUUGGGUUUUGGGGGGAGUAUGGUCGCAAGGCUGAAACUUAAAGGAAUUGACGGAAGGGCACCACCAGGAGUGGAACCUGCGGCUUAAUUUGACUCAACACGGGGAAACUUACGAGGUCAGGACACUGUGAGGAUUGACAGAUUGAAGCUCUCUUGAUCAGUGGGUGGUGGUGGCUGGCCGUGUAGUGGUGGAGGAUGUCUGUAUC